GAUGAAGAACGUAGCGAAAUGCGAUAAGUAGUGUGAAUUGCAGAAUUCAGUGAAUCAUCGAAUCUUUGAACGCACAUUGCGCCCCUUGGUAUCCCGAGGGGCAUGCCUGUUCGAGCGUCAUUUCACCACUCAAGCCUGGCUUGGUGUUGGGCGACGUCCUCUUUGGGGACGCGCCUCGAAACGCUCGGCGGCGUGGCACCGGCUUUAAGCGUAGCAGAAUCUUUCGCUUUGGAAGUCGGGGCCCCGUCUGCCGGAAGACCUGCUCGCAAGGUUGACCUCGGACCAGGCAGGGAUACCCGCUGAACUUAAGCAUAUCAAUAAGCGGAGGA
rnacentral:misc_RNA from 1 species